GCUUAGCCCUAAACAUCGAUUUGAUGACCCCAUUAAAUCCGCCCGGAAAUUACGAACAUUAGUUUAAAACCCAAAGGACUUGGCGGUGCUUUAUAUCCACCUAGAGGAGCCUGUUCUAGAACCGAUAAUCCCCGUUAAACCUCACCCUCCCUUGCUCUACCCGCCUAUAUACCACCGUCGUCAGCUUACCCUGCAAAGGCCCAAUAGUAAGCAAAAUUGGCACAGCCCAAAACGUCAGGUCGAGGUGUAGUGGAUGGGAGGGGAAGAAAUGGGCUACAUUUGCUAGCCAUAGCAAAUACGAAUGAUGCAUUGAAACAUGCAACUGAAGGAGGAUUUAGUAGUAAGCAAAAAUUAGAGUGUUUAGCUGAAACCGGCCCUAAAGCGCGC
rnacentral:rRNA from 1 species